UUUGUUUCAUCUUAAAUAUAGCCAUUUGUGUGGAGAGAAGGGAUAUAGAAUAAGCAAACUGCCACUUCUAUCGCUUUCAUGGGUGGGAGAUUGCGUCAUUAAAGAGAAGUAUGAUCAGUAGCUGGGGUGGGAAGAACGGUCUGGUGUGAGUCAGGGACCUUCAAGAACUGCAGUUGGAGUCUCCGGGUCUCCCCUUGAUAGCCCUUUGAUGAGACCAAAAUCUGACCAUAGGGCUUAAAUCCUGGUCCUUUGUUGGGAAGAGGGCUGGGGAGGAGCCAGGCUCCACCACACAAUGCCCACGAGGCCCAACGUUGACUUUGGGCCUGAGGAUCAGAAACAAACAAAAAACCCCUCCACGUCCCAGGGGCCUCAGCUCCGAGUCUGUCCCUCGCCUUCGUGGGGACAGAGUGGCCCGAGCCUGGGGGAGAACGAGAUCUCCCGGUGACCUGCCCUCCACCCGCAAGGCAGGGGCGGCGCCAGCGAAACCCGCGAGUAAACCGCCUAACUAGUUUGUCCCUGCGGCCGUCUCGUAGGCGACGCCUCGGCGCCCCGAGUCUCGCUGCGUCGUAUUGCCAUGGCUGCCCGAGGCGGCGUCGCCCCUGCCAGCGAAGGUCUGCGCUACGCCGAGUACUCGCCGCCGGCGACCAAACGGCCGGACACGGACGUGGACCAGGGACUGGCAAGAAGUUUGAUCGCUGUAGGACUGGGUGUUGCGGCUCUUGCAUUUGCAGGUCGCUACGUGUUUCAGAUCUGGAAGCCUCUAGAACAAGUAAUCACAGAAACAGCAAAGAAGAUUUCCACUCCUAGCCUUUCAUCCUACUAUAAAGGAGGAUUUGAACAGAAAAUGAGUAGGCGAGAAGCUAGUCUUAUUUUGGGUAUAAGCCCAUCUGCUGGCAAGGCCAAGAUUAGAACAGCUCAUAGGAGAAUUAUGAUUUUGAAUCACCCAGAUAAAGGUGGAUCUCCUUACUUAGCAACCAAAAUAAAUGAAGCAAAAGACUUAUUAGAAGCAACCACCAAACAUUGAUCAAUACUUAAGAAUCAUUCUGAAGGAAAAGAAAGGAGAAUAUAAAACAAAAAAGUCUUGCAAAUUAAUCUAAACCACGUUGUUCAUAAUUUUCAUACAUGUACUGACCACAAUCAUUUGUUCCACUAUUAAGGAGAUGCUGGGCCCGGCUGCCUCUCAGGACACAGUAUUGAUUGGUUCACUUCUAAAUGCUACUAUCAGAAACUGAAACUGUAGACGCGUGGAUUUUCUUAGAAGCCCUUGGUGAAACUUGAGUUUUUACCCUUCAUACCAAAAUAAGCAAGGGGAAAAAAUAGAAAUCAGCCCAAUGAUACUUUAAAAUUGAUUUGUGUAUUUAUCUUGUAACACAGAUACCAAAGAAAGUACCUAUUUCCUUGGUUUAUUUCUUUCUUGCCUCAGGUGUAUCCCUAGCAGCUUUUGGCCUGCAGCUGCAUAAAGAACUCUAAACAGAGGCAUUGGUAUUCGAAAUGCUGAUGCAACCAGACUGUUACCCUGGGUAUUACCGAAAAUGUCUGCACAAAUGCCUGGAUUCCAUACUUAGUGUAAAUGACGGAUAGGCUACUGUUCUGUCUCCAACUUCUCCCUGAGGGGAGUACAGAUAGGCGUGCCCUAUGUUUCUCCUCUCUUGCCCUUCAUCAUCUGGCCAACCCCACACAGUGGUCACUUCGUAAUUCUCUCCCAAGGCCAGUUGGACAGUGCACACCACAGUCACCUGGCCUGGGAGGGUCUCGUGUUGUCAUUACACACCAUCCUAUGAUGUGUUUGCAGACAGGAAGGGGAAAGAGGACUGACAGUAUUGGGAUAACAUAACAUGAAGGGUGUGUCUAUCAUAAAAUACGAGCUUGAGUUUUGUUUUGUCAGGAGAGGAAUAUGUUUUCCACAGCAGUCUGGUGAAUUAAGAACAAUAUACUGAGUCCUACAGGGAACGUGUUCUAUUUGACUCUGUUGAUAGGAUUUAUGUGUGGAACAUCAAUUUUCUGUACAGACAUAAUUGAGUACAUAUUACCAUGAUAUGAAAAACUGGAAGCAUACAUAUGGUUGUGUAGGCUGUUAAAUUUUAAGAAA